CUCGAUUAGGUUUAGGAUAGAGAAAAACUUCUCUAUCUGUAAGAUCGAGGCUUCAGCUACUAAAGGGUUAUGGCCACCUUCACAGUGUGGCGAGUUAAGCUUCCUAAACUCUGUUAUGUUGUGAUAGAUAGACAUUUUAGCUAUUCGAUAAUCUUGGGCAAGGUAUUGACAAGGAUUGGCUUGAUUUUGUCAUACGGCUGUGGUUAAUCCCCAGAUAGUUUGGAAGAGUUCAAUAAACUCAGCCCUAGUUGGAUGGUCCUAGGCCUCGGGUCUUUCUGUAUGUUCUACAAAAGGUCUUCCUUAUA
rnacentral:lncRNA from 1 species